GAAGUUGGAGUCGCUAGUAAUCGCAGAUCAGCAACGCUGCGGUGAAUACGUUCUCGGGUCUUGUACACACCGCCCGUCACGUCAUGAAAGUCGGUAACACCCGAAGCCGGUGGCCUAACCCUCUGGGAGGGAGCCGUCGAAGGUGGGAUUGGCGAUUGGGACGAAGUCGUAACAAGGUAGCCGUACCGGAAGGUGCGGCUGGAUCACCUCCUUU
rnacentral:rRNA from 1 species